CUGCAGUAGACAAACGCACUUGUGUGCGUGGGAUCGCAAGGGGGCGCGCGGAGCGCUAGGGCUGCGUCUAUUAUGCUGGCCAGGAAUAAAGUUGAUACACGAAACAAGCACCCACAAAUCCACUAUAUAUUACGAAAUACCAUUAGAGCCGAUCCUACUGAACAAUCUUUUACACUUUUUAGGAAAUUUUAUAGACGGAUUGCUCGCCAAAAUCGAGAUUAAAAAACGCGUCGAGCGAUGCUGCGCACUUUGAUUAGCAAAUGAUGGCAAAAUAGCGGGGUGGGGGUGGGCGAGAUCUGCUGCUGCAGUAGACAAACGCACUUGUGUUCGUGGGAUCGCAAGGGGGCGCGCGGAGCGCUAGGGCUGCGUCUAUUAUGCUGGCCAGGAAUAAAGUUGAUACACGAAACAAGCACACACAAAUCCACUAUAUAUUACGAAAUACCAUUAGAACCGAUCCUACUGAACAGUAUUUUCCACUUUUUAGGAAAUUUUAUAGACGGAUUGCUCGCCAAAAUCGAGAUUAAAAAACGCGUCGAAACGAUGUUGCGCACUUUGAUUAGCAAAUGAUGGCAAAAUAGCGGGGUGGGGGUGGGCGAGACCUGCUGCUGCAGUAGACAAACGCACUUGUGUGCGUGGGAGCGCAAGGGCUGCGUGUAAAUAUACUGGCCAGGAAUAAAGUUGAUACACGAAACAAGCACCCACAAAUCCACUAUAUAUUACGAAAUACCAUUAGAGCCGAUCCUACUGAACAAUAUUUUACACUUUUUAGGAAAUUUUAUAGACGGAUUGCUCGCCAAAAUCGAGAUUUAAAAACGCGUCGAAACGAUGUUGCGCACUUUGAUUAGCAAAUGAUGGCAAAAUAGCGGGGUGGGGAUGAAUGCCCUUAUCGAUAUCCUACACCUGUGCGAUGUACCUAAUUGGCGAUAGCCGAUAAGAUCAACUUAGCGAGAUCUGCU
rnacentral:lncRNA from 1 species